CAGCCGCCACGGUAAGACAGAGGAUGCAAGCGUUACCCGGAUUUACUGGGCGUAAAGGGCGUGUAGGCGGCCUGGGGCGUCCCAUGUGAAAGGCCACGGCUCAACCGUGGAGGAGCGUGGGAUACGCUCAGGCUAGAGGGUGGGAGAGGGUGGUGGAAUUCCCGGAGUAGCGGUGAAAUGCGCAGAUACCGGGAGGAACGCCGAUGGCGAAGGCAGCCACCUGGUCCACUUCUGACGCUGAGGCGCGAAAGCGUGGGGAGCAAACCGGAUUAGAUACCCCUGUAGUCCCUGUCUCUUAUAC
rnacentral:rRNA from 1 species